rnacentral:rRNA from 1 species
CAGUCGCCGCGGUAAUACGUGGGGCGCAAGCGUUAUCCGGAAUUAUUGGGCGUAAAGAGCUCGUAGGCGGUUUGUCGCGUCUGCCGUGAAAGUCCGGGGCUCAACCCCGGAUCUGCGGUGGGUACGGGCAGACUAGAGUGAUGUAGGGGAGACUGGAAUUCCUGGUGUAGCGGUGAAAUGCGCAGAUAUCAGGAGGAACACCGAUGGCGAAGGCAGGUCUCUGGGCAUUAACUGACGCUGAGGAGCGAAAGCAUGGGGAGCGAACAGGAUUAGAUACCCCUGUAGUCCCUGUCUCUUAUAC